UGAAAGAGAGGGCAUUUCUGGCCACAUUCCUGGGCAUUUCCCAUUUUCGUUCCUGUUUCUUCGAGAAAGUGUUUGAAAGAGAGGACAUUUCUGGCCGCAUUCCUGUUCAUUUCCCAUUUUCGUUCUUGUUUGUUCGAGAAAGGGAGAACACUUCUGGCCACAUUCCUGGGCAUUUCCAUUUUUCGUGAUUGUUUCUCGAUAAAGGGUUUGAAAGGGAGAACACUUCUGGCCACAUUCCUCGGCAUUUCCAUUUUUCGGGAUUGUUUCUCGAGAAAG